AAAGCGUAAUAGCUCACUGGUCGAGUCGGCCUGCGCGGAAGAUGUAACGGGGCUAAACCAUGCACCGAAGCUGCGGCAGCGACGCUUAUGCGUUGUUGGGUAGGGGAGCGUUCUGUAAGCCUGUGAAAGUGUGCUGUGAGGCAUGCUGGAGGUAUCAGAAGUGCGAAUGCUGACAUAAGUAACGAUAAAGCGGGUGAAAAGCCCGCUCGCCGGAAGACCAAGGGUUCCUGUCCAACGUUAAUCGGGGCAGGGUGA
rnacentral:rRNA from 1 species